GGGAAGAAGGAAAGGGGGGAAGGAAAAGGGAGCUUCCGGGUAUUCCGGGAAGUAUGCCUGUUUGAGGGUCAGUAUUAACAAAAAAUCGGUUUGGUUGCAAAUUGUGACGUUUCCGGAGUUUGGGCUAUCUUAAAUUUUUUGGUUAAGGGGCUUAAAAUUGACCUUUUUUGCGCAUUUUUAGACGUACAUAAAUUUUUUUUUUUAUUCGUCUAUUCUGAAUGCCAAAAUGUUAUUAGAUGCGAUAACAUCGUGUGGUUUCGUGGCUAUAAAUUUUUCAUGAUUUGACCUCAAAUCAGGUAUG
rnacentral:misc_RNA from 1 species